GUCUUUCUCGAGGGGCUCUCCUGGGCUUCUGAAGAAGGAGCCUCUCUGGAGUGCGGCGGAGGCGGCGCCUGCGAACCUAACUAGCUCCAGGUUAGGCCGGGCUUUGCGGGAAAGCAGCGGACUUGAAAAUACUGGAAAUCUGUCUGGAUCCAAAUUCUUUUGCAAGCCAGAUGAGUAACCAGAGGGCAUGAAAGGUUGAGAACAUUUGACUUCCCUGCAAACCUUGGUAUAGAUCACUUCCUUUUCUGUAGGAAAGGAAAGGCACCAAAGAGCACAAUGAGUACAAGAAAGCGUCGUGGUGGAGCAAUAAAUUCUAGACAAGCCCAGAAGCGAACUCGGGAAGCAACCUCCACCCCAGAGAUUUCCUUGGAAGCAGAACCCAUAGAACUCGUGGAAACUGGUAAGAUUGCCAGGGACACUACAACUGUGGGGUGUUAAAGUGGAGAGAGAACACGUACCAGGGUGAGCUAGUAGAAGGUGCUUUCAGUGUCUUUAGAAGGCCUGCCUAUGCAGUCUCACACUCAGCAUUUACAACUCAAAGCUUCACAGAUUCUGAAAUAGCCUCUCAACUGGGCUAACUGU
rnacentral:sRNA from 1 species